rnacentral:rRNA from 1 species
GUAGCCUAGGGGCGCAGCAGUGGGGAAUAUUGCGCAAUGGGGGGAACCCUGAUGCAGCGACGCCGCGUGGGUGAAGGAGUAUUUCGGUAUGUAAAGCCCUAUCAGCAGGGAAGAACAAUGACGGUACCUGACUAAGAAGCACCGGCUAAAUACGUGCCAGCAGCCGCGGUAAUACGUAUGGUGCAAGCGUUAUCCGGAUUUACUGGGUGUAAAGGGAGCGCAGGCGGCGCGUUAAGCCUGGUGUGAAGGCCCGCGGCCCAACCGCGGGACUGCAUUGGGAACUGGCGCGCUGGAGUGCCGGAGGG